rnacentral:rRNA from 1 species
AGCGAACGCUGGCGGCAGGCCUAACACAUGCAAGUCGAACGAAGUCUUCGGACUUAGUGGCGGACGGGUGAGUAACACGUGGGAACGUGCCUUUAGGUUCGGAAUAACUCAGGGAAACUUGUGCUAAUACCGAAUGUGCCCUUCGGGGGAAAGAUUUAUCGCCUUUAGAGCGGCCCGCGUCUGAUUAGCUAGUUGGUGAGGUAAAGGCUCACCAAGGCUACGAUCAGUAGCUGGUCUGAGAGGAUGACCAGCCACAUUGGGACUGAGACACGGCCCAAACUCCUACGGGAGGCAGCAGUGGGGAAUCUUGCGCAAUGGGCGAAAGCCUGACGCAGCCGUGCCGCGUGGAUGAUGAAGGUCUUAGGAUUGUAAAAUCCUUUCACCGGUGAAGAUAAUGACUGUAGCCGGAGAGGAAGCCCCGGCUAACUUCGUGCCAGCCGCCGCAGUAAGAC